ACGUAGGGACCAAGCGUUGUUCGGAUUUACUGGGCGUAAAGGGCGCGUAGGCGGCGUGUUAAGUCAGCUGUGAAAUCUCCGAACUUAACUCGGAACGGUCAGCUGAUACUGAUGUGCUAGAGUGCAGAAGGGGCAAUCGGAAUUCUUGGUGUAGCGGUGAAAUGCGCAGAUAUCAGGAGGAACACCGGUGGCGAAAGCGGUGGUCUGGGCCGGAACUGACGCUGAGGAGCGAAAGCGUGGGGAGCGAACAGGA
rnacentral:rRNA from 1 species